CAGUGUAUUCAGAUAGUGACUGAAAACCCAGAAGCAUAGAAGAAAAUGAUUAAUCUAAGCAUGUAUAAAAAUAAAUAGUAAGAUACUUAAUACCUAUUUCUGUCACGUUUUUCUGAGAAACAUUCAUCACUAAGGGUAACCUGGGGCUGUCUGUCCCCAAAUUUUCUGGAUGCAUAGGAAAAACUGGAUAGGAAGAAAAAAUCACUCUUCACGCCUCUUUUCUCCUUCUCAGGGGACCCUGUAGUUCUGAGUCUCAGUGGCAACCUCUAGCAAACCUCAACCCACACUUCACGUGCCCCAAUCAGUGCUCAUGACACUUGCUGUGUAUGUCAGUUGCCGCACAUACACCUUGCUACCCGCGUUCUGUGAGUGGAGCUGAGGCGGAGGUGGUCCUGUUCCUUCUGUCUUGAUUGUUUGUCACUAUCUCACGCUCUACUGGGUGAAAUAUGAGUAGGCAUGUAAGAUCAAGAUCCAAAUCUAAGCAAAGAGAUGAUCUAGAGUCUAACCAGCAAGCUGCACCUGUGAUUGGCCCGAUCUGGAAGCUGAUCUCCAGAAACUGGCUCCGCCAAAGACUUGCAGUAAGGGUAGAGCUGGUACGAAUGUCAAGAGGGCAAGUUUACUAAAUUUAGAGCCCAUUAAAAUGCCAGAAGCAGGUGAAGGACAAUCACAGGUUUAAAGGAAGACCAGCUGAAACCAUCCAUGUUGGAUGGAUAUUUCACUGUUAAAAUUCUCUCGAUAAAGUUUUACAACUUUCUCCACAGAAUCAUGUCAAUGUUUUGUUAAACUUAUUUCUAAGCAUUUGAUGCUAUUGGAAAUUAUAUCAUUAUUUCAUUUAUUUAUUGUCCUGAGAGAGAGAGUAUUUAUUAGCAUCUGCUUUGUAAUUUUAAUGUCUUUUUUUAUUCAAGUAUAAUUAACAUUCAGUGUUAUAUUAGUUUCAAGUGUACAGUAUAAUGAUUCAACAGUUCCAUAUAUCACCUGGUGCUCAGCAAGAUAAGUCUACUCUUAAUCCCCUUUACCUAUUUCACCCAUCCCCCCACCCACAUCUGCCCUGACAACCAUCAGUUUGUUCUCUGUAUAUGAGUCUGUUUUUUUAUUUGUCUCCUUUUUCUUUGUUGGUUUUGUUCAUUUUACCUUUUACAUUGUGAUUUAUUUGGUAUCUACAGAUAUAUUUGUAAAUUGAUGUUCUCUCCAGCAACUUUGCUGAAUAUGCAUUUUAAUUUCAAAACUUUAUGUCUAGCUCUUUUUUGGUUUUCUAAAUACACGAUCAUAUAAUCAUUGAAUACUAACAGCUGGUUUCUUCUCUUUUAAAUAUUAUGACCUUUUUUUUCCCUUCUCUCAUUAUACAACACUGGACAGACAUACCCAGUACAAUGUUGAAUAGAAUUGUAAUAAUGGACACCCUUGUCUUAUUCCUGAUAAAAAAAUGGAAAUUUGUAAAGCUAGCCAUGUUUACUGUGUAGUAAAGAUAGCUUCAUUCUAAUCCUAGUUUGCUAAGAAUAUUUAUCUUUGAUAUAUGUCGACUUUCAACAAAUACUUGUAGUGCAUUUAUUGAGAUGAUCAUGGAUUUUUUUCUCCUUUAAUCUGUUAAUGUGGUGAAUUAAAUAGGUAAACUCCUAUGUUUUAACCAACCAUACAUUACUAGGGGAAAAAUGGUCGCGAGA